CCGAUCAGUCGCGCCGCCCACACACCCGCUGCGCCCCGGCACGGCUCGGCCGCCACCGCCACGCUAGACCACCCUCGCCCCGCCUUUCCGCCGAUCGGCCGUCGUCGAGGACUCCUCCCAUCACCAAUUCACCGCGUAUCAAAAGCAGUGACUCCUACACCGGUACCCUCCUUCCCCACGCACGUCAAGUGUGAGUACGUGCCUACAACAUUGAGGUGCAUCUACACAAACUCAAGGGCCCGUUGAGGUGGAAGGACAAAAUGAGAUUACCACCAUGAACACCAUUUGCGAUAAGAUAGCUAUAACAUUGGCUAGUGUGGGAGCUACAUAAGGUAUCUAUGUAAUUGGC
rnacentral:lncRNA from 7 species